CCGCUCUCAGGUCACCUCGCAGCCUUCCCUUCCCCAGCUCUCCUCCUGUCCCCAUAGGAGAGGUGUUCCAUCCCUUAGUUCAUAUUUGUGGCCCUUCUCUGGACAUGCUCCAACAGGUCUGUGUCUUUCCGGUACCGAGGGCUCCACACCUUGAUGCAGUACUCCAGCAGAAAACAGGGGAAGGUAGCAGGAAUCCACAUCCCACUGCUACGGGAAAAGCACAGCACCUGAUCGCCUGCCGAUCCUUGCCCAGAUGCUGCUCAGCGAUGAGAAGCCAUAUUUGCAGGAUUGGCUCAGAACCCAGCUUUGCUGACUGGCUGCUGGUUGCCCCAAGAGGCAAUGCUCUUUCUAUGUGAGUAUGGAAUCCUGGAGCACUGCAGUUGUACAGGAGAGUUAUCCAGUCAGGCUGUAUUGCUGUACUUGGUGCCUCAGACCUCGCCUUGGGUUCUAGAGCCUGGAAGCGGGUGGCGCUGGGGGCCCUGAUUGGCAGGGAGUCGGAUGGCACUGGGGGGGCCCGGUGGGCUGGGAGGCGGCGUUAGUUUUAACCUUGACCUGAACCCCAAGCGUUAAAAGAACUCUAAAGAGAAUUGUAUUAAUCCACAACGUAAGUCUCAGCCUAACCCUUAACCUGGUGCUAAAAAUGUGUCUAACCCUAAAUGUAGCAAUAAAAAUAAUACUAAAAGUUUACAGUAAAAGUAACAUGAACUCUAAUUGUAAUGCAAAAAACAGUCAUGAAAAUGAAGGUAGUGUUAACCCAAAAAGUAACAUGAAUCGUAACCCUAAUGACCCUAACAAAAAUGACUAUACCUCUGCCCUGAAAAUCUGCAAAACCUGCUCCAGGUAAGUCACCACAGAAGUAAUGCUAGCAGUAACCUGAAUCCUGAAGGUAACAGAGAAGAGGCACGGGCAGCGUGUACCCCCACUGUGUGCCAUGGCACCGCAGAGGGCUCCCAGGGGUUCUCAGUGCUCCCUGCACAACUCUGGGGGCAGCUGUGAGGCACCUGUUCCUUCUACGCAGGUGAAUGAAAUGCUUUAGAUCUGUGAACUUGGGUAGAAAACUGCAGUUUGCAUUGAUCUUUGUGGAAGUGAGGUGAUGGUCCACAUGAAACUCAAAACUGCAGCUUGGUGCAGUGACAGCCUGUAGAUUUGCUAGGGCCUGAAUUUACCCAUUUUAUUGCAUUAAAAAAAAACAAAAAUAAAAUGUGUAGCGCAGGAAAGACAUACAUUAGUAAAUACAUUCAAAUACGAACAAGACAGAAUAAGAUAAGACUAAUGUGGCCCUGUGAUUUCUGCUAACACGCCUUCAUUUCAUUACUGUUAAAUUUGCUUGGUAGCUCAAUUUCAGUGCAUGAAUAUUUAAAAACAAUGUAAUGGAGGCUGCCAAAAAAAAAAAAAAGCAUGACACCGUGAUUGAUUUUUUUUUUUAAACUGAUAAUCCUAAGUAAAUAGUACAGGUUUCUUGGGCUUGGAGGCGUUUUCCUCCGUUUUUCUUAGUCUUCCCCUCCCACCCGCCUUCUUUAUUCCCUCCUGUUUUAACGUUGUGUUCUUGCCCUGUUCUAAAAAGCAAGCGAGAGCGGAAGGCCGGCGGGGGACCGUGGUACUGGCCGAGUGAAUGGCACGGGAGAAGUUGUUUCCGCGGUCUGUGCUGCCACCGCGUGGUCAAUCCGCGGCAGUGCCGCUGUCUCGGUUUGGUGCGGCAGGACGCAUGCGCACAGGCAUGCGGAAGUGGCGCGUGUCCGUUGUGGUCGCUCUGCGCAGCUAGCCCGCCAAUCUCCAGUGUGCUUAGUCCUCCAGGUGGCAGUGCGCAUGCGCCCGAGAGCGUAUGAGCGGCACCCCUUUCUCCGUCUGGUCGCGCGCACCUCAGCGCCUCGGUGCUUGGGCUCAGCAAUAUUCUCCCCUGCUUCCAAUCCAGGCUGCCCCUCGCUUAUUUCCUCGGUCGGUUUUACGUCCGAGCCCGCCCCGGGACCACGGACAGCUUUUGGUGGCGCGCGGUGCUGGCGUGGAGCGGCUCCGGGGUCACGCCUGGCGGCACGCGACCAGCUUUCCUAGUAGCUGUUUAACGGGCUCUUCCAACCUGCCUGUCCUGUCCCGGGCGACCGAGCUCCUUCACGUCGCGGUGCCUCAGGGCUCCGGGCGCCCCGCCGCGCGCUGCAGAAAUCGUACAACGGAGCGGGAAGCGAGCAGGAAAUCGUAUCGUCUCAGACCGAGGCGGGAAAAGGCACCGCCGCCUGCUCCCCUGCCGAUCUUUGCGCGGAUUCCGCUUGAGCAAUGGAAAGCCGCGCGUCCCGUAAUGCCCCGGAACACAGCUUCGGUGACUGGUUCCCCGAACGGACUGAUGGGGGGGAAAAACAGCGCCGCCUGCUCACCUGCCGAUCCUUGCCUGGGUGCUGCUCGAGCAACGGAAGGCCACCUGUCCCGGAGUGCCCCGGAACCCAGCUUCAGUGGCCGGUUGCCCGAACAGGUAAGCACACCGUAUGCGUACAAAUCUUUCCCCGUUGCGUAGCGUGGCAGCAGUGUGUAGUACUCCCCGAGCAGGAAAGAAAGCCCACAGCAAACUGCACUGACCCAACGCGGGCAGCAGGCUGAGUGCUGGAAGGCUUUGGGAGCUGUUUUGUUGCUCCCUUGUGGUUCGUUUAGUCACCAACCUGCACGUUUCAAUUUCUCCUAUUUUGGAUGCUGUAACUGAGGGCAAGGUGAUUGCAGAGCAGGAAACAUACUCAGGCCACUCGCUGUUGGCUGAUUGACGGAAGCCCCUUCUCCCUUGGCUGACAAUUAAUUUCCCAACAAACAACAGCGUUGCCGGUGCAGCGGUGCCUUUUCUGGAUUCGAGCUGAAGUUCUACUCAGCUUUUCAUUUGGCCCCGAAUAGCACGGUGUUAGGCUUGAGCCAGUGUGAAAUCUGAAGCGUAGCAGUAAAGCUCAGUUCUGAAGGAGGCUCCAGCCUCCUGGAGGGCAGAUGCUGGUGGCAAAAAGAGCCAUCGUUCUCAGAGGUGACGUAGAGGUGGUGAGGCAGCAAAAUAGGAAAGCGGGGUUGGGGGUUUAAGGCCAGUUUAGAAAGAAAGCCGUUUUCAAGCAUUUUUGGGACUCAGCAAGCAGUUUUUCUUCUUGUUUUGGACUAACCCAGCGUACUUGGGCAAGCUGCUUUUUCAGACGCCUCAACACAAGUCCGCAAAGUUCCUGGGUUCGGUCAUCGUCACGCCGCGUAACUGCGCGUCCCGUCCAAGAGAAGAAUAUCUGUUGUGUCGGCUCUUCCAAGCAGCGUUGCGGGAAGAGAUGGAGGGGGUUGUAGCCUGGGAUGCAGCCCUGCUGUUGCACCGGUUUGGACAGAUUCUAGAAUUGAAGCGGUUCUCGUGUGAUGUCCCAUGCUAACUUGCAGGUCACGCUAAAGCGUCCCUGCGUUCUGCUUGUCCCGUUUCACGUUAGUCCUUUCAGUAAUCUGGAAAGGAGGAACUAACUUUGUUCGUGAGGAAUUAAGCCGUUCCUUUUUAGUCCGUACUUUGUCACUCGGCGAGGCGCUGUUUCUGGUCUCGCACAGUGCCUUCCUAAAAUGCAGUCCAGUCUAACUUCUGUCAUGUCUGGUUGCAGGAGCUUCCAACAAACGGCAGACUCAGGCUUCACGGGUCAGAGACGGAGCGAACGUGAGGGCCUCUGGAUUUCCAGAAACAAAUGAGAAGACUGAGAACUGGAUGCUGUGUUUGACGCUUUUCCUGGCUGUCCUACUUAAGGAUUCCCUCUGUCCGUAGGCACAUUUGGUUGGUUUGGUCGGACCACAGGAGCUUGGUGCUUAUGACCGAAGUUCUUAAUGAUACAGAGCUGUGCUGCCUGCUCUCUAGACCAAAUACGCAUAACGUUGGAGGAGGUUAUGCUUUAUUUUUUUUUAUGCUUUUGAAGUAUGAGGCUGGUACAUGCCUUCAAACAGAUAACAUUUUAAGGAAAUGUAUUUUUCCUUCCCCCCCCUCCCCUUUUUCUUCUACAAAGCUCUCAGUAAGUAAUGUUAAUUGAAUACAACUAAUAUAAAUUUCUAUUUGCAAGAGAUACUGCUAGUGUGAUGUAUAACUUCAAGACAGUUAGGAAGAUCAACUGGGAUUAAGUUGGUAGAGUGGUGCAAAGAGUAGGUAGGCAGUUGCUGAGGCUGAAGGAAGACUUGAUUCCUGUUAGUACUUUUGCUGCUGAGAAAUAGAACCACAGAUUCUGAGGUAGCUUCACCCAUGUGGACUACCCCAGGCUGAUACUUACUUCAUUCUGUAGUGUUGACAUCUGUCAUGAUUUCUUCCAUACAAGGAAUUCCAGGUGUUGUCAGAAGCUAUUCAGACACGUUGGUGUUAAUUUUAUCCUAGAAUGGCUGCUGCUUGACGUGCUGUCUACACAUUGAUGGUGCAUAUAUUAGCUUAUGUUUCUUGACCUCUGGUCAUGUUCUGACAGUGGUGCUUAGGACAUUAGAAGGGAAUCUCUUUAGGAGAUGGAAGAAGAGAUGUGUUUUGCUUUUUGCCUGUGCUGAAUCAGUAAUUAGCUUUGAGAUGCGAUGAGAUGCCAUUUAAGCUAGAAGACAUCAUGGGAAGAAAAAGGACCUGGGGAUCAGUUCCAUGUCAACCUUUGUUUGGUCUUUUUCCAUUUUGCAUGUAGCUACUACAGAUAUACGUACUAUUUGCAAGAAAACAUCUGUUUUACUGGAGGAUAAGCAUAACAUGGCAGUUUCUUUUGGUCCCAGUGUCUUUCUAACCCUAAUACUUCAACCCUCUCUUUAUUCCAAGUAACCAAGUCUCUCAUUUCCUUCUUGAGUGGGCCUACAUUUUUCCUAGUUUUCCUUUUAUCACUGAUUUUACUUACAGAAGCUUUUCUUGUUGCCCUUAACAUCCUUGGCCAGAUUUAAUUCUAUCAGGGCUUUAGCUUUCCUGACCUGAUCCCUGGCUUUUCAGACUAUUUCUCGAUAUCCCUCCCAGGCUUGCUGUCCUUGUGUCCACCCUCCAUAGCCUUCCUUUUUGUGUUUGCAUUUGUCCAGGAGCUGCUCAUUCAUCCAUGCAGGCCUCCUGGCAUUUUUGCCUGGCUUCCUCUUUGUUGGUAUGCAUCACUCCUGAGUUUGCAGGCAGAGAUCCUUGAAUGUUAAUGAGCUUUCUUGGACCCCUAUUCCCUCCAAGGCUUGAUCCUGCACUACUCUACCAAGAAAAUCUCUGAACGGGUCGAAGUCUGCUCUCCUGAAGUCCAGGGAAGUGAACUUGCUGUGUCCCCUCCUCGCUGCCCCAAGGACCUUGAAUGCCAGCACGCCACAGACAGCGCAGCUACUUCUGCCCUCGAGCUUCACGUUCCCCACCAGCCUCUUCUUAUUGGUAGCACAGUGCAUACGUACAGAAAUGUGGAAGUGGCGUAUCUGAGUUCUGACCACUGUGCGCAGCGAAUCCACCAAUCUUUAUUGUCUAGGCUGCCCACGCAGCUUCUCAGCAUCUUGCCGUAAGAAAGAGAAAACGGAACACCAGGAUGGGGCUGGGGAGCCGCGCCGAUCCCGUCGGACGAGUCCUUCCCGCAGUCUCAGCUGCCACCGUGUGGCCAAUCCGCGGAACUGCCACUGCCUGCGCUUGGUGAUGCAGGCAGAAUGACGCAUGCGCACCGAAAAGCGGAAGUGGAGUGUCUACGUUCUGACCGCUCUGCGCAGCGAAUCCGCUGAUCUCUAUUGUGAUUAGUCCUCCAGGCAGUGGUGCGCCUGUGUGCCGAAAAGCGGAAGUGGCGUGUCUGCGUUCUGACCGCUCUGCGCAGCGAAUCCGCUGAUCUCUAUUGUGAUUAGUCCUCCAGGCAGUGGUGCGCCUGUGUGCCGAAAAGCGAAAGUGGCGUAUCUAUGUUCUGACCACUCUGCGCUACUAAUCCGCCGAUCUUUACUGUGAUUAGUCCGCCAGGCGUUUGCCAUCGUCCUCAAUAUUUUGAUGCCGUGCAUGUAACUCUUGUUUUGCAAUGCCAUGUGUUGUGUAUCGAGUGCUGAAUUCAAAGCAUCCUGGUCUGAUAUCACUCAGUUGCGUGUAUUUCAUUUUGACCAUCCGUACUCGCAUUGUGUUCUCAGGUCGGUGUGACAGGUAAGCGAUGGGGAG